rnacentral:rRNA from 1 species
UACGUAGGGUGCAAGCGUUAUCCGGAAUUAUUGGGCGUAAAGAGCUCGUAGGCGGUUUGUCGCGUCUGCUGUGAAAACUGGGGGCUCAACCCCCAGCCUGCAGUGGGUACGGGCAGACUAGAGUGCGGUAGGGGAGAUUGGAAUUCCUGGUGUAGCGGUGAAAUGCGCAGAUAUCAGGAGGAACACCGGUGGCGAAGGCGACUACCUGGCCUGUUUCUUGACGCUGAGGCGCGAAAGCUAGGGGAGCAAACGGG